AUACUUUUAUCUUUAAAUCACACACAUUCCGACACAUGUUCCGGGGUGCCCGUCUGAUAGACAGGGUCGGAUUCAUGGGGGAUGUGGAGGCCUAAC
rnacentral:sRNA from 1 species